rnacentral:sRNA from 1 species
GUGGCUAGUGAGGCCCAGCCUGCAGAUUUCUAACAGGGUGCCCCAUGCCCCAGCACCCUCCCCACUGGGACCACUCCUCAUAGAAUAGCCCCACUCCAAAGCAUUUAUGACUUGAACCUUCUGACCAAAGCUCUCUGAAUCUUGGGGGAACCUAGAAGAGGAAAAGGAAUGUCAGGCUCUGUCAGAGUCAGCCAAGCGAGAUCAGCCAGGGGUCUGCUCCCUGCAGACCACACGGGAAGCCAGGGUGUGCAGUGAGUCUAAACUGGAAUCUUACCCUGCAAAACAAAUGGCCAUUAUUAGAGUUUUCCAAAACCACCCUGAAGCCCCUGACUGUGCCCAAAGUUCAGAUCUCAGAAGUGGAUGCCCCGCCGGAGGGUGACCAGAUGCCAAGCCCCACAGACUCCAGGGGCCUGAAGCCCCUGCAGGAGGACACCCCACAGCUGAUGCGCACACGCAGUGAUGUUGGGGUGCGUCGCCGUGGCAAUGUGAGGACGCCUAGUGACCAGCGGCGAAUCAGACGCCACCGCUUCUCCAUCAACGGCCAUUUCUACAACCAUAAGACAUCCGUGUUCACACCAGCCUAUGGCUCUGUCACCAACGUCCGCAUCAACAGCACCAUGACCACCCCACAGGUCCUGAAGCUGCUGCUCAACAAAUUUAAGAUUGAGAAUUCAGCAGAGGAGUUUGCCUUGUACGUGGUCCAUACGAGUGGUGGGCCCAUGUGAGCAGGUCUCCAAAGUGUUCCUAAUGGAGAAAGACCAGGUGGAGGAAGUCACCUAUGACGUGGCCCAGUAUAUAAAGUUCGAGAUGCCGGUACUUAAAAGCUUCAUUCAGAAGCUCCAGGAGGAAGAAGAUCGGGAAGUAAAGAAGCUGAUGCGCAAGUACACCGUGCUCCGGCUAAUGAUUCGUCAGAGGUUGGAGGAGAUAGCCGAGACCCCAGCAACAAUCUGAGCCAUGAGAACGAGGGGAUCCGGGCACCCCAGGAACCGCCAUUGCCCAUAAGACCCCCAGGAAGCUAGGCACUUUCUUUCCAUGGAAACAUUUAGACACAAACCUCCCCAGCUCCAGCCAAGCCAUCAAUUGCUACCUGGAGCUGGAUGUAGAAGUCAGCAGACAGCUCCCUAUCCCUGGACCCCUGCCCUCCUUUUUUCUGCUCACAAGGACUUUUGAUUUUAGUUAUAAGGAGGACCCAAAAUGUGUGUGUGUAUAUGUGUGUGCACGCAUGGUACGUGUCCAUGUGCCUACCUGAUACUUUCACAUGUAAUUAAAUUCCAGGCAACCAGCACAAGAGCCGUGAGCUUGGCACAUGUGCUGCUCGUGAGCAGGAAAAUCAGAGGAGCCACUGAUCUGAGUGGUAUUUAGGUUGAAGGAAAGAUUUCUCCUCUCAAGUGCCAGGGAGCAGCCACAUAUCUGCCUGUGUUUAGAAAGGGAAGAGGGUUCUCCAGGUUCACCAUUUGGGUUGUUUAUAUGUUGGUAGAAAUCCUCCCUGUAUGCCUAGAAGGAUCAGUGAAUGUAAGAGCCUUGGAAAUUAACAAAAUAACAGCCACAUAACCUGCGGCAAGUCUGAUGGAAAGAAAAAGAUAAACCAUCUGUGGGGUAGAUGCAAUAAGCCCACAUAUUUUUACACUGGAAACCGUGAUUGUUUUAAAUGACAAAGACAUAUGUGAUGUUCUAUGUGGAAACCUGUGAAGAGUGGAUUCUGCCUCCAUCUCUGCCUCCAUGGCUACCUUUAGGAGACAGAGAAGAUCCUGUGUGUUUCUCUGUACCCAGCUGACAGCCUAUCUCUCUGGCGCUUCCUUGAGUGGAAGGAAAUGUCUCAAGAAACAAAGAUCUCGCUGGUGUGUACACAGUGCUGACCAGCUAGUGUGGCCAGGGCCUGGUGGCCUGGUGGCCAGGAAGUUUCAGGUUGAAGGGAAAUGUCGAGGCUACCUGCAGAAAUGACAGGUACCUUGAAUGCAGCCCAUCUUCACAUCAUCAAAAGUCUUCCUGCACUUGAAGCUGGGGCGAUGUUUGCCGUCAAGACUUCAUUCUUUCCAACCUCUGGGUUCUUGCAAGUUGCCCUCACCUUGUGUGGGGAGAUGCAUUCCAAGAAUGAAGCCUCAUCUUGCUACUGAGUGUGGGGUUCAGGGAAGCUCUUUAGGCCACCUGGUGAAGAUGCAUGGGGAGGAUGGAGCUUCUCCUCAGCUCCUAUGAGCAGCCACCUAUGUGAUCUUUAGAUCCAACCCCAAUGGGAGAAAAGGGCAAGAACAGUCUGUGCCCUGGGACUCCCAUCAGGAAGCUUGACAGGCAGCUGGGCAUCAGUGCAGCUGAUAUCGUUUGAGGAGGGAGACAGAUGCUUGGACCUGGGUGCCUGGCUGUGGAGAUCGACCAAGCAAGACCAGGAGCUCCUGAUAGCAGGCGUCUCUGAGCCUAGCUGGGGUAGAGGCACCGCCCAUCUCUUCUCCACCUUCUCUCCACGGAAUGUUUGCAGAGCUGGGCAGUUGAGGAAAGGACAGCCCCUGGUUGGUGCCUCCAAAGGAAGGUGGACCUUUUUGGUGGAGAUGUUUCUGCCCUGGGCACCCUCCUGCCCCUCAUUCAUAGCUAUGGCUUCUUUAGAAGGCUCACAGCUGUAGUCUUAAUGUAGACUGCAAAAAGAUGGCAUGCUGCCCCUGGCAUUUCACCAGGGGUUUUAUAGCAAGUCUCCUUCCUCCAUAGGGACAGCAGCACCAGCCCUGUGGGGCAUGGAGUGGAAACCCAGAAGGGCUUCUGCAAACUGCACAGAAUUGGGGUAAGAAGACAAAGAGUGGGCACCGGGAGAGGCUUCCUUUGUUACAGCUGGGAAAGAACAGUUCUGUGAAUGCAAACACCUCCUGAGUUUUGCAAUUGAGAAAAUGAUUUGGAGAACUUCUCUUCUGGUAAUUUUUAUUUUGAAUGUUCAAGGCCUUAGUCGGCCCCAGUAAUUCUCCUUGGAGGACUUGGGAGAAGAAUUUCCACAAAGCAGACUACUAACCACUAGCUCUUAUUGGAUAGCGAUUUCUGGCUUGUAAGAGUUCUCUUUGAUUUGCACUGGCACUACGAUAGUGUUAAAUGGGGAAAUACUGCAACAUGUCCAGUUGGCCAGAUCACUUUCCAAGGGAGCAAUACUAAGGCAGACUCACCUUUUUAAAGAUGGGAGGUCAGGGGGUGGAAGUGAGAGGAGAUCCCAUCUCACACAACACACUUCCACAUAAUGCAGACCACACUUUUCCAUUUUGUCCUGCCCUCUUUAGAGGUCAUUUCUCACGUCCUAAGAACCUGAUCAGAAGUUUUGGAAGGGUUCUUUGAAAUAGCAGAAGUUGAAACAGAGACGCUUUGCCACAGUGUGGAGCAGAUUUUCUCACUGGUAUCACAUGGUCUUGCAGUUUUGAACUCUUCGACCGAUUUGUGGGAGUUUAUGUAAUUGCGUGCAAUGAACCUGAAAUUGUGUAAAGAACAAAAGACCAGUUUAUAGGGUUGGGUUUUUUUUCCAACUUGUGAAAAGCAGUUUAGCUGCAUCUGUCUCCCCUCCACCCCCACCCUGGGAGGGGCUUAUGUUACAAAGUGAUCAAGUGAAAGAAAAACCUGAGCCUAUCUGGCUGGGAUGGUGGAAUUAAGCACAAGGUCACAUUCUCUGUGAUCACGAGAGGGAAGGUGAUGACUUAAAUGGUGGGGGGUGAGGAUUAUCUUGGGGAGAGGCUGAAAAGCACAAAAGAUAGUCUUGCCUGUACGUAUUGGUGAAGAACGUGCACAAGGCUGGACAGACUUCAACUUGGAGUUGAGUUGAGGCAAGAGGAUUUCUGGAUAUUAGUCACCCAUCUGCAAGAAAAAUGCUGAGGCCUCGGGUCAAGAUUUUGAUCUGAGACAUGCUCAUGCUUCAAGGAGAAAUAUUUUCACAAUCCUCUCUUCCCUCACCAAAAGAAAACAGUACUCUCUCCUAGAAACCUCUAGGUAAACACAUUUUAUCCUAAUAUCGGUAGCAUAUAAUGCCUCCCCAAAAAAUCUGUUUUCCAUGCAAAAAAGUCUCAACAAGAAGUCUGUGGAGUUGAGUGGUUACUUCAAAGUGUCAGGAGGGUGGAGAGAGAAAUUGGCCACAGAAGAGCAGGAAGCUCUCUUAAGAAAACGGAAUUCUCUUUAAAGAAACCACCACCACCAACAAAACAACCAAAAACCACGUUUAUGUCAAAGCUCUGUAGCACAGAGAAUGUGGUGUCAUAGAUACAUCGCCGAGAGAGAUUUCUUUCUUUCUUUCUUUCUUUUUUAUUUGAGACAGAGUCUGGCUCUGUUUCCCAGGCUGGAGUGCAGUGGUGCGAUCUCAGCUCACUGCAACAUCUGCCUCCAGGGUUCAAGUGAUUCUCCUGUCUCAGCCUCCCAAGUAGCUGGAAUUACAGGGACCCGCCACCACGCCCGGCUGAUUUUUUUUGUGUGGUUUUAGUAGAGAUGGGGUUUCACCAUCUUGGCCAGGCUGGUCUUGAACUCCUGACCUCGUGACCCACCCGCCUAUGCCUCCCAAAGUGCUGGGAUUACAGGCGUGAGCCACUGCGCCCGGCCAAGAGAGAGAUUUCCACAUGAAUAAGGCAAUUUCAGUGUCUCACGGUAGCCAAACCAUGAUGUGAAGAAUGAGAUAGGAGACAGGAGAUCACCAUGAGCGUCCCUGAUAUAGCAGCACACAUUUUCACGUUUCCACUAAAAUUGUUUUGCACAAAGUCUUGCUUCACUCAGAUGGGAUAUGAUUUCCUAGAGAUGUCAAAAUAAGAAUGAAUGUGGCGCCCCCUUCUUCCAGAUGUAAUAGAAAGCUUUGCCCUAUCACAAGGGGGUGUUUAAGUGCCCCUUGUGUUUUAACUGUAUUUAACUGAGCACAAGAUGCACAAGCUAUGGUGGGAAACCCUCAGUUUACCUUUGGAGUCUUCCCUGCAGAUCGCAGAACUGUUUCUAGUCUGAUGUUUCUGGUGUGUAAUUGCUAGUGUUUCUGAAGGGUUUUCCCAAUUGUUUUAGCCUUGUGAAGUAUUCCUUACUUAAUUAUAACUUGCCUUUCAGCAAUGGUACAUGACUUGAUUCAAUGUUUGGUUCUGAACUUAUACACUGAUGCGUUUACUCAUCUAACAUAACCUGACAAGGCCUCAGUAAGGGAGCCAUACAUUUUUGUAACAUUUUGAUAUGUUUUAAUGCAUCUGACUUAGAUCUUACUGAAAUAAAGCACUUUUCAAAGAGA